CCUACGGGGGGCAGCAGUGGGGAAUAUUGGGCAAUGGCCGCAAGGCUGACCCAGCGACGCCGCGUGCGGGAGGAAGCCCUUCGGGGUGUAAACCGCUGUCAGGAGGGACGAACCGUUCCGUGGUGAACAGCCAUGGGGCCUGACGGUACCUCCAGAGGAAGCGCCGGCUAACUCCGUGCCAGCAGCCGCGGUAAGACGGAGGGCGCGAGCGUUGUUCGGAAUUACUGGGCGUAAAGCGCGCGCAGGCGGGUUCGUGAGUCGGGGGUGAAAGGCCGGGGCUCAACCCCGGAAGGUCUCCCGAUACUGCGGACCUGGGGACCGGUAGGGGCAGGUAGAAUUCCCGGUGUAGCGGUGGAAUGCGUAGAGAUCGGGAAGAACACCGGUGGCGAAGGCGGCCUGCUGGGCCGGGUCCGACGCUGAGGCGCGAAAGCGUGGGGAGC
rnacentral:rRNA from 1 species